CCCAUCGGAAUGUACGAACAGAAACAAGUAAGAAGUAAGAAAUAAGAAAUACAGAAGGAGGUUUCGUUCCCAUAUUUUCCCCAUUUCAAUCUUCUCAGUUUACUUGGCUAGUUGUCUAAUUUGUAUACAACUUGAGUUAACGUUUCAGCUUGUUGUGGUAUUGUUGUUGUUGGACAAUGGUCAGGACUGCUAUGAAAGACGCAUCAAAGGAAGUUCAAACCCAUGCGAGGCCAAAAGCUCGUAAGGAGAACAUAUUUGUCACGGUACGAAUGAGACCUUUGACCAGAAAAGAACAAGGAGAAAAUGAAGAGAUUGCAUGGCACUGUUCUGAUGAGCAUACCAUUUUGCAGAAGCAAUUGAAAAAUAAACGGUCUAUGGAGCCUUACACCUUUGAUCGAGCAUUUGAUAUGCAUUGUUCAAAUCAGAGGGUUUAUGAGGAGGGAGCCAAGGAUGUUGCGUUAUCUCCUCUUGCUGGAGUUAAUGCAACAAUAUUUGCAUAUGGACAAACAUGUAGUGGCAAGACAUACACAGUGAAGGGAAUUACUGAAAGGCUGUCAAUGAUACAGAAGAUCACAUUAGAAAAUCCCCGGAAAGAUAUUUUGUACUAAAGAUUUCUGGCUUGGAGAUUUAUAACGAGAAGGUCAGUGAUUUGUUCAAUCCAGGUUCUACCAACCUUAUACUUCAGGACCAUCCGGAGAAAGGGACAAGUGUUCGAGAUCUAGUUGAAAGAGUAGCGAAGGAUUGCAAUGAGUUGAGGAGUUUAAUAGGUCAAUGCGAAGCUCAUAGGAAAGUCGGAGAAACUGUGCUAAAUUGCCAGAGCUCAAGGUCGCAUCAGAUUGUAAAGCUGACCAUAGAGAGUCGAAGCCAUGAGAAUUCCACCCAUGCAGAGUCAUUCGUAGCAAGUCUGAAUCUUGUGGACCUCGCAGGAAGUGAGUUUGCAGAACAAGCAGAAACACGCGGUGUAAGACAGAUAGAAAGGGGUCAACAGAAGCCUUUUGGCUUUAAAGUCAGCGAUAAGAGCACUCAGUGUUGGAGAUCGUGUAAAAUACCGAGAUUCAAAUCUUACACGAUUGUUGAAACCUUCUCUCGGGGGGAAUUCACGAUCUGCUAUUAUAUGUACCAUAAGUCCUGCCUCGAGUCAUUUGGAACAAUCACGAAGCACACUCUCAUUCGCGAGUAAUGCAAAGAAAGUGAAAAACACUGCUGAAGUGAAUGUGAAACGCAUGUGUUCUUUUCAUCCCGUUGCCUUUCAUUUCUGUCAGGUUGUUUCAGAGAAGCAACAGUUGAAGCAGUUGCAGGAUAAAGUUGCUUCGCUUGAAGCGGAUAACAGCAAGUUGACAACAGAGCUUGAAUUAGAAAGAGCGAAGAAGAAAAAGAGAACUAGAAGGGCGUCUUUUGAACCUAUUAUUAGAAGUCCUGCAGUCUUCCCUGAAAAUGAAUCAGAUUCUGAGGAGGAUAUCUGGUUGGAAAGAAAGAGAAGCGUACUGGCAAGGAAUAGACAGUUCAAGAAGAAGAAGAGGAAGUGCAAAUGCAAUUGCUCUGCUAGUUCUAGAUGUAUGAACAAGAGGUGCUCAUGUUUUAUUGGAAAUGAUUCCUGUAGCACUGAAUGUGUUAUAGAUUGUGCAAACUAUUCUGAUGGUGAUUAGAAUACUUUUAUGUGGCAUAUAGAGAGUAUGUGGCUGGUAUUUUUUCUUUGUGGAUGCGUUAAAGGGUAAGACCAUAGACAGUUCUCAGAUUGCGUGUGGAAACUUGUAAACGGGUAUAUGACUAUCUCAACAUUUCUAUAUUUCUUUAUGGGUUGAGAUUAGAACAUAUUCACAGUUUUAGUUUUGCAAUUUUAACCAAAUUAGUGCUCAAUUUGACUAAUAAGUUUAUCCACCUAAGAAGUUGGCAAGGUGUGUUUCAUUUUA